GAUGAACGCUAGCGGGAGGCCUAACACAUGCAAGCCGAGCGGGAUUUGUUGGUUAGCUUGCUAACUAACAAUGAGAGCGGCGUACGGGUGCGUAGCACGUGUGCAACCUGCCUUUAUCUGGGGGAUAGCCUUUCGAAAGGAAGAUUAAUACCCCAUAACAUAUUGAUUGGCAUCAGUUAAUAUUGAAAGCUCCGGCGGAUAGAGAUGGGCACGCGUAAGAUUAGCUAGUUGGUGAGGUAACGGCUCACCAAGGCUGCGAUCUUUAGGGGGCCUGAGAGGGGGAUCCCCCACACUGGUACUGAGACACGGACCAGACUCCUACGGGAGGCAGCAGUGAGGAAGAUUGGACAAUGGGUGAGAGCCUGAUCCAGCCAUCCCGCGUGAAGGACUAAGGACCUAGGGAUUGUAAACUUCUUUUAUACAGGGAUAAACCUACUCUCGUGAGGGUAGCUGAAGGUACUGUAUGAAUAAGCACCGGCUAACUCCGUG
rnacentral:rRNA from 1 species